CAAUUCAUUAUCAUAAUUAGAGGUGAUUAACAAUAAUAUAUAAUAUUACUAACUAUUCAAUCACAUGUGCAUGUGUGUGUGUAUGUUUUGGAAACACUAUAGGUUAAAACAUAGUUGAUUGUUUUAAUUCUUGUAGUUAUUAUUAUUUUAUUGAGGCUCACAUCAUCUCAUCUUUGCCUAGAAAAAGGCUUCCCUAGCUGGCUCCAAAGUGUUUUAGACAUAGCCCCAAAAGUCACUGCUAGCUCUCUUGCCCUUCAGUAUGAUAAAUUAUUCCAGGUUCAUGUUACACAAUUCCUGCCCCAGAUCUGUGAUCAGUUCUCGCCCAAAGAUCCCAGGUUCCUUUUAGUGCUCACAGUCUGAGCACUAGAUUUUGAACCUAGUAAAUGAACCCAGAGAUACUCAUUUUACCUACCUUGUCAUUAUUGCUAAGUCUUUUCAGUCAAUAGAGCCAGGGAAUUUAUAUUUUUACAUUAAAAUACAUCACAAUUUCAAUUAAUAAUUACAAUAUAAUUUAAAGACUAGAAGGUUUCUUUUUGGCUCUGUUUUUGUUUUCUGAGACAAGUUCUGGCCAUCACCUAGGCUAGAGUGCAGUGGCCCAAUUACAGCUCACUGCAACCUUGAAAUCCUGGGCUCAAGCGAUCUUUCUGCCUUGGCCUUCUGAGUAGCUGGAACUACAGGCAUGCACUACCAUGCCCAGCCAUUUAAAAAAAAAAUCUCUUUUGUAGAAAUGGGGUCUUGCUGUGUUGCCUAGGCUAGUCCCAAACUCCUGGGCUCAAGCAAUCCUCCCACCUUGGCCUCCCAAAGUGUUGGGAUUAUAGGUGUGAGCCACCACAGCUGGCCAAGACUACAAGGUUUUUACUUAAACGUUUUUUCUCUUAAAUCUAAAUUACCUUUCUUCCAUACCAAAAAUCCUAGUUCCUGAUACCAACAUAAUUUCACUUGCUUUAUCCCAUAAUGCACACAACAGUCUCAAGAAGAACGAGAGAGAGAGACAGAGAGAGAGAAAGAGAGAGAGAGAAAAGAGAAAGAGAGGGAGGGAGGGAAGAAAGGAAGGAAAGAAGGAAAGCAGGAAGGCAGGCAGGCAGAUGUAAACAGUAACAACACUAUCAUCAAUAAUAAUUUUAAAAAACAAUGUAAAAUUGUUUCACAAUUCUUUUUCUUAGGAGAUAUCUACAUACUGUAUCAUUUGAAAUCAUUCCUCUCUGUCCUUGAGGAAUCAUCAUACUGUCUUCCACAAUGGUUGAACAGGCACCCUACAGAAUGGGAGAAAAUUUUUGCAAUCUAUCCAUCUGACAAAGAGCUAAUAUCCAAAAUCUACAAGGAAUUUAAACAGAUUUACAAGAGAAAAACAAACAACCCCAUCAAAAAGCAGGCGAAGGAUAUGAACAGACACAUCUCAAAGGAGGACAUUUAUGUGGCCAAUAAACCUAUGAAAAAAAGCUCAUCAUCACUGGUCAUUAGAGAAAUGUAAAUCAAAACCACAAUUAGAUACCAUUUCACGCCAGUUAUAAUGGUGAUCAUUAAAAAAUCAGGAAACAACAGAUGCUGGAGAAGAUGUGGAGAAAUAGGAAUGCUUUUACACUGUUGGUGGGAGUGUGCAUUAGUUCUUCCUUGAUUCUUAAAGGAACCAUGCUUAAUCUCCAGGUCUACUUGUUUACAGCUGAAGUGAGCCCCCAAGCAGUUAUAGAUUAAAUUAGUUUGCAUCAGGUAAAUUGGUUUCCACCAAACUGAAUGAAGGCACAGAAGCUGGUUGGGAUUCUUCUGUUAAACAUUGUCUAGUCUCGGAAAGCAAAAAAUAAUAAUAAUGAAAGGAGGCACUAACAAGGAAAUGAAGUAAGUUUAAUGCCUAAAAAUAGCCAUGCUUAGUAAAUACUCAUUUCUCAUCCUCAGUGAGUCCCUUUGUAAACUGCAGUUAAAAAUGAAGGCUUAAGA
rnacentral:lncRNA from 1 species